AUGGCAAUAAGAGUUAAUGUUGUUGUGUUACCAACAACAACUUUCAUUUUUUUAUAUUUUUUAGAAGACAACAAACCUUCUCUUUCUCUUCAUAUCAUCACCAUCUUUUAUUUGUUUUACUUUAAAAAAACAAAACAAACAGCAGACAUAGGAAAGAAAGAGAGAGAAUGCGGCAGUGACAAGCCAGCCUCAAGGCAGCGCCGCCGCGAAAAGCAAUGUUUUCAAAAAAAAUUACAUUUUUGA